rnacentral:rRNA from 1 species
AUCGGGCAAGGAAAUAUUUAUAGCUGUAAGAUAGGCAUGCGUCCCAUUAGCUGGUUGGUGAGGUAACGGCUCACCAAGGCAACGAUGGGUAGGGGAACUGAGAGGUUUAUCCCCCACACUGGUACUGAGACACGGACCAGACUCCUACGGGAGGCAGCAGUGAGGAAUAUUGGUCAAUGGGCGAGAGCCUGAACCAGCCAAGUCGCGUGAAGGAAGACUGUCCUAAGGAUUGUAAACUUCUUUUAUACGGGAAUAACGGGCGAUACGUGUAUUGCUGUGAAUGUACCGAACGAAUA